rnacentral:rRNA from 1 species
GUAAAGCGGCGAACGGGUGAGGAAUACAUGGGUAACCUACCCUCGAGUGGGGAAUAACUAGCCGAAAGGUUAGCUAAUACCGCGUACGCUCCUUGGACUUCGGUUCAGGGAGGAAAGCGAUACCGUGGGUAUCGCGCUCUUGGAUGGGCUCAUGUCCUAUCAGCUUGUUGGUGAGGUAACGGCUCACCAAGGCUUCGACGGGUAGCUGGUCUGAGAGGACGAUCAGCCACACUGGCACUGCGACACGGGCCAGACUCCUACGGGAGGCAGCAGUAAGGAAUAUUGCGCAAUGGGCGAAAGCCUGACGCAGCGACGCCGCGUGGGGGAUGAAGGUCUUCGGAUUGUAAACCCCUUUCGGGAGGGAAGAUGGAAUGGGGUAACCCAUUCGGACGGUACCUCCAGAAGCAGCCACGGCUAACUUCGUGCCAGCAGCCGCGGUAAUACGAAGGUGGCAAGCGUUGUUCGGAUUUACUGGGCGUACAGGGAGCGUAGGCGGUUCGGUAAGCCCUUUGUGAAAUCUCCAGGCUUAACCUGGAACAGUCGGAGGGG